rnacentral:rRNA from 1 species
CCUACGGGUGGCAGCAGUGGGGAAUAUUGGGCAAUGGGCGCAAGCCUGACCCAGCAACGCCGCGUGAAGGAAGAAGGCUUUCGGGUUUUUAACUUCUUUUUACAGGGAAGAGCAGAACACGGUACCUGUCGAAUAAGCCACGGCUAACUACGUGCCAGCAGCCGCGGUAAUACGUAGGUGGAAGAGUUGUCCGGAGUUACUGGGUGUAAAGGGCGUGUAGCGGGGAUGACAAGUCCGUUGUGAAAUCCGGGGGGUCAAACACCGAACUGCAUUUGAAACUGUUCGUCUUGAGUAUCCGAGAGGCAGGCGGAAUUCCUAGUGUAGCGGUGAAAUGCGUAGAUAUUAGGAGGAACACCAGUGGCGAAGGCGGCAUGCUGGACGACAACUGACGGUGAGGCGCGAAAGCGUGGGGAGCAAACAGGAUUAGAUACCCUUGUAGUC